rnacentral:rRNA from 1 species
GCACGGGUGAGUAACACGUAUCCAACCGCCGGAUAACUCGGGGAUAGCCUUUCGAAAGAAAGAUUAAUACCCGAUGGCAUAAUUAGACCGCAUGGUCUUAUUAUUAAAGAAUUUCGGUUAUCGAUGGGGAUGCGUUCCAUUAGGCAGUUGGUGAGGUAACGGCUCACCAAACCUUCGAUGGAUAGGGGUUCUGAGAGGAAGGUCCCCCACAUUGGAACUGAGACACGGUCCAAACUCCUACGGGAGGCAGCAGUGAGGAAUAUUGGUCAAUGGGCGCAGGCCUGAACCAGCCAAGUAGCGUGAAGGAUGACUGCCCUAUGGGUUGUAAACUUCUUUUAUAUGGGAAUAAAGUUUUCCACGUGUGGAAUUUUGUAUGUACCAUAUGAAUAAGGAUCGGCUAACUCCGUGCCAGCAGCCGCGGUAAUACGGAGGAUCCGAGCGUUAUCCGGAUUUAUUGGGUUUAAAGGGAGCGUAGGUGGACAGUUAAGUCAGUUGUGAAAGUUUGCGGCUCAACCGUAAAAUUGCAGUUGAUACUGGCUGUCUUGAGUACAGUAGAGGUGGGCGGAAUUCGUGGUGUAGCGGUGAAAUGCUUAGAUAUCACGAAGAA